GACGAACCGUGCAAGCGUUAUCCGGAUUCACUGGGUUUAAAGGGUGCGUAGGCGGGCAGGUAAGUCAGAGGUGAAAUCUCCGGGCUUAACCCGGAAACUGCCUUUGAUACUAUCUGUCUUGAAUAUGGUGGAGGUAAGCGGAAUAUGUCAUGUAGCGGUGAAAUGCUUAGAGAUGACAUAGAACACCUAUUGCGAAGGCAGCUUACUACGCCUAUAUUGACGCUGAGGCACGAAAGCGUGGGGAUCAAACAGG
rnacentral:rRNA from 1 species